GAGGUAAGAGGAAGAGAGAAUAACCAAAAAAAGGUGGUUGGAAUAUGAGGACGGCUGCGUUGUAUGCGUAGUGGGAGAUCGUGUCAAGUGAAGUGUAGGACGAGGGUAAUUUAAUCCAAAUAGUUGGGAUGAAGUCAAAGGAGAAGAAGAAGAUUUCCUUAGAGUCUUAGACAAAUUACGCUAUUAUGAAAUUAGCAUGAUGUUAAACAAUUUGAAUUCUUUGGUUAACACGAUACCUAUAGAGACUUGAGUGACCGCGUAGUGUUUCAGGGUUAACAUUCCGGUCGAAUUUCACUGUA